GAUGAACGCUGGCGGCGUGCCUAAUACAUGCAAGUCGAGCGAACAGACGAGGCGCUUGCUCCUUUGACGUUAGCGGCGGACGGGUGAGUAACACGUAGGUAACCUACCUAUAAGACUGGGAUAACUUCGGGACACCGGCGCUAAUACCGGAUAAUAUUUCGAACCGCAUGGUUCGAUAGUGAAAGAUGGCUUUGCUAUCACUUAUAGAUGGACCUGCGCCGUAUUAGCUAGUUGUUACGGUAACGGCUUACCAAGGCAACGAUACGUAGCCGACCUGAGAGGGUGAUCGGCCACACUGGAAGUGAGCCACGGUCCAGAGUCCUACGGGAGGCAGCAGUAGGGAAUCUGCCGCAAUGGGCGAAAGCCUGACGGAGCGACGCCGCGUGAGUGGUGAAGAUCUUCGGAUCGUAAAACUCUGUUAUGAGGGAAGAACAAACGUGUAAGUAACUGUGCACGUCUUGACGGUACCUAAUCAGAAAGCCACGGCUAACUACGUG
rnacentral:rRNA from 1 species